rnacentral:rRNA from 1 species
UACGAAAGGAGCAGGUGUUAUUCAGAUUAACUGGGCGUAAAGGGCACGUAGGUGGUUUUGUUUUAUGUGUAUUAUUUAAAAUUUGUAAAAGCAUAACUUUUAUAAACGUAUUACAGACAACAAAAACUAGAGUUAGGUAGAGGGUAGUAGAAUUUUCUAAUGUAAAAGGUGAAAAUUUUGAUAAAAAUUAGAGAGAAUACCAAUGGCGUAAGCAACUAUCUGGUCCUUAACUGAUACUGAGGUGCGAAGGUAUGGGGAGCGAAUAGG